CUAGGCACUAGGCAGUGAGUACUGGUAUGGUGAGGUAUACUAGACACUAGGCAGUGAGUACUGAUAUGGUGAGGUAUACUAGACACUAGGUAGUGAGUACUGAUAUGGGGAGGUAAACUAGACACUAGGCAGUGAGUGCUGAUAUGGUGAGGUAAACUAGGCACUAGGCAGUGAGUACUGAUAUGGUGAGGUAUACCAGACACUAGGCAGUGAGUACUGAUAUGGUGAGGUAUACUAGAAGCUAGGUAGUGAGUACUGAUAUGGGGAGG